GGCGGGUACUCCCUUUUUUGUUUUCUUCUUUCGCACCACGUGUUCGUGUAUAUAAUUCGUUCCAGCAUUUCAAAACUCAAACUUGUGAAAAUGAACAGCGAUAGAUGUAUGGAAUUCUCUAGUAUAUGCAGUCGCCUUGAAGGAGACAAGGUGAACGAUCGGCGAGAAGCAGCGAAACGAGCAAAACAGCUCCUAAGUUGUCGUGAAGUCAUUCAACACUUGGAUGAAAGCUCAGAAGAGAGACGGGAGAGACGAUUUGUAACGUGGCAUCGUGUUCUUCAAGCUGUGCAAACAUUUGUGAUGAAAGAAGCAGAGUAUUUGCAAAAAUCCGUUGCUAAAAGCAAGUCACAAACUGUAGCAUCAAGAGAAAAGAAUCUCAAAAUGGUCAGAAGCGUUUAUUUUGUCCUAGACAUUGCCUGGUUUUGCGCGUACGCCCUUUUACCAGGUCGUGGAAGGUUUUAACUACAUGCAUGUACUUAAUUAAUAAAAAGUCACUUUGAAAUUUUCAUACUUACAGACCGUAAAUUGGGAUG